CAGAAUAUUCACAUUUGCAGAUUUGCCGGUGUACAGCAAGCUGAUCUCCCUUGCAGAAAAAAAUUUAUAUGAUGGUGAAUUAGCAGCAGAAAUCCUAAACACAAAGGAUCAUGCAAUAACUUCCACAUCUACUAGUAGGACACCAUCUCAGCUUAGUGGUAAGUUUUCUGUCGUCAUAACUGACUAAUCAGCAACUUUCACAUAAUAUGUCGACUAAAAUGUUGA